CACCCAGGACUAUGAACACUGUAAGCAGG
rnacentral:piRNA from 1 species